rnacentral:rRNA from 1 species
AAACAUGUCUUUUUGUAUUAUAUAUAAAGUCUGACCUGCCCACUGAAUAAUUUAAAUGGCCGCAGUAUCCUAACUGUGCAAAGGUAGCAUAAUCAUUAGUCUUUUAAUUGAAGGCUGGAAUGAAUGGUUGGACGAGGUAUUAACUGUUUCAAAUAAAUUUAUUAUAGAAUUUUAUUUUUUAGUCAAAAAGCUAAAAUUUAAUUAAAAGACGAGAAGACCCUAUAAAUCUUUAUUAUUAUUUAUAUUUUAAUUAUAUAGAAUAAUUUUGUUAUAAUUUAAAUAAUAAUUUUAUUGGGGUGAUAUUAAAAUUUAAUAAACUUUUAAUUUUUAAAAACAUAAAUUAAUGAAUAUUUGAUCCGUUAUUAAUGAUUAAAAAUUUAAGUUACUUUAGGGAUAACAGCGUAAUUUUUUUGGAGAGUUCAUAUCGAUAAAAAAGAUUGCGACCUCGAUGUUGGAUUAAGAAAAAUUUUAGGUGUAGCCGCUUAAAUAUUAAGUCUGUUCGACUUUUAA